AUACGUAGGUGGCAAGCGUUGUCCGGAAUUAUUGGGCGUAAAGCGCGCGCAGGUGGUUCCUUAAGUCUGAUGUGAAAGCCCCCGGCUCAACCGGGGAGGGUCAUUGGAAACUGGGGAACUUGAGUGCAGAAGAGGAUAGUGGAAUUCCAAGUGUAGCGGUGAAAUGCGUAGAGAUUUGGAGGAACACCAGUGGCGAUGGCGAAUGUCUGGUCUGUAACUGACCCUGAGGGGCGAAAGCGUGGGGAGCAAAUAGGAUUAGAUCCCCUGGUAGUCCACGCCGUAAACGAUGAGUGCUAAGUGUUGGGGGGUUUCCGCCCCUCAGUGCUGCAGCUAACGCAUUAAGCACUCCGCCUGGGGAGUACGGUCGCAAGACUGAAACUCAAAUGAAUUGACGGGU
rnacentral:rRNA from 1 species